UUCCGUCCAUCGAUAUAUAUAUUCCACUGGAUUAAUACUUCCAAACAUGUUCAAACUACGUAGGUAUAUAAUUUUCCGUCCUUCAGUACCAAUUUUUAUUUUUAUCAAAGUAAAUUAUUAGAAAUCACACUUUUAGCAUAUUAGUUGGUCCAGUUACCCUAUUGAUUAUUCAUAAUUCGUCACCCAAUAUAGUCUAUGCAUACAAGAAGACUGAUUUCCACCCUCUCAAUGCUGUUUGAUGCAGAAACCCAUAGAGUUAAAUUAACACAUGUUGACCAUGCUCUUAGGACAUUUUGAUUUUUUCAUUUUCAUUAAACAGAAGAAAACAUGUGCUGUAAAGCACAUAAUCAACCCCCUCACACUCCCCAGUUCCCCCAUCCCCAACAAAAAAAUCCGCCAUUCUGUUUUUCAUUUUUUGGCACAAAUAUAGAAUGCGGCAGACGAUUAUAAACCUAAAAAAAAAUGAUUAAUCUUUUCAAUGGGGGUUUUAGGAAGAGGAACAAUAACAGCAGCUUUUAAGCUUAAAACUGAAGUGCAUUUCAAAAUCUCAAGGCCAAGAAUGAAGAACAGCACAAGAAAUAAAAGUUAGCACAAGCACGAAGAAGAAAUAAAGCCCAAUUUUUUGGUGCAUUUUUUCUUUCCCUUUUACGCGGUUGUUCUUCCCAUAGCAACGAUCAACCCAAUACGAAGUGAUGGCACAAUCCGCAAUAUCAACAAAAAAAAGAGCAGUAUGACGUAGAAUACCACAUAGUUUGGCAGGUAAAGUGCUAAAAAACCUGAUUCAAUAUGAAGCUCUUGCCUUGACGAGACCUUCCACAGACAGAGACGACGCCAAUGGGACCCUUUACUUGGUGCAGGGCAUCAAUAGCUUCUGGGUCCGUCUUGAACUUUCCACAUUCAUCGGUAUACACCAGCCGUAUAGGUCUCCCUGAAUUCUCCUCUUUUGAAGAACAUGAAGAAGAUCCUACAUCAACCCACUUUUGCAUCGUCAUCUUCUUGCUCUUUUCACUUCUGAUUGCUCCGGCUUUGGAGUUGCUUAAAACUUCCGUCUGUAUUGUCACAUGGAGAGAUUUUGAGAUGAAAAGAGAAAUUGAAAUUUUUGAUUCGCUCUUAAACUCUUUCUAAUGGUAAAAUGUUUUUGACCCUUGAUUCAUGAAAAUUUUCUUUGCUUUCUUCCUAAAAUCUUUGAAGUUUAAAUAUCACAAACAGUAAAGAUUUUAACAUCACUCAUUUGUUUGUGACUUCUUUGUAUACUUAAGGUGUUCAUUCUACCCUGAAC
rnacentral:lncRNA from 1 species